rnacentral:lncRNA from 1 species
AGAAAAGAGCAGGAGCGGGCCGGCCGGGUCCGUUUGCCGUGGCGCGCGGGGGAGCUGAGGAAGGACUCCGCGCGGAACCCAGGAGUGUGGCGUCGCGGAGGUGCGGGAGCGACUGUCGCAGGCCGAGUCUGUGCUCCUCGGAUCUGCACCAGGAGAGCGGGGUCUGGACCCGGAGAGCAGCGGGCCGCGCUUUUCUCUCGCACCCUGCGGCCAACACUAUCACUUAAAACUGGGCCUGGUGGAAUGGAGGGGGUCGCAAUGUCCAAGAAGACUAAUCACCUUCCCCCACUCUGCCUGGACUGCGGCGGUCACCAGUCGCCCGCGGAGAGCUGGCCUAUUUGUCACUCUGCCCUGGGAUUCUCUACUGUGCCGCGAUGGGGGAGGGGACACCCGGACUGCUGAGCCCUUCGGCUGGGUAUUCUGUCAGAGCGACGGGAAGUUUGUGGAUACAAUGCCGGGACCCUCACUGUGAGCUUUUGGGUCUCCAUCAGAAGAAGACCACAUGCGGCAGACUGAUGCUGUCUGAUGAAUCUGCUCAGGCAACUCGUGCAGCUGGAAAAUCUGCGAAAGGCAGGAAGGAAUCUGGGGACAAAAAAAUUAAUGCCUGUUGCACAAGCAUCAUGCACUAGAUUCCCACGUUAAAUAAAGAAGAAAAAUCUCACUU